rnacentral:rRNA from 1 species
UACGUAGGUGGCGAGCGUUAUCCGGAAUGAUUGGGCGUAAAGGGUGCGCAGGCGGUCCUGCAAGUCUGGAGUGAAACGUAUGAGCUCAACUCAUGCAUGGCUCUGGAAACUGGAGGACUGGAGAGCAGGAGAGGGCGGUGGAACUCUAUGUGUAGCGGUAAAAUGCGUAGAUAUAUGGAAGAACACCAGUGGCGAAGGCGGGUUCCUGGACAUUAACUGACGCUGAGGCACGAAGGCCAGGGGAGCGAAAGGG